rnacentral:rRNA from 1 species
GACGAACGCUGGCGGCAUGCUUAACACAUGCAAGUCGAACGGAACGGCCCUGCUUUUGUGCGGUGCUCGACUUACGACCUGGUAAGUAACCCGUGGGUACCCUGCACUUCCCUUUGGGAUAUCUUCAGGACACUGGGGCUCAUCCCGCCUAGGAGCUCCUGCUUCUUGGUGGGGGCUGGAUAGAUUCGGCGGUUGGUGAUGGAAUGGCCUCGUAUCAGCUUGUUGGUGAGGUAGUGGCGUACCAUGGCUAUGACGGGUAGCCGGCCUGAGAGGCGGACCGGCCACAUUGGGACGGAGAUGCGGCACAGACUCCUCCGGGAGGCAGCAGUGGGGAAUAUUGCACAAGGGGCGGAAGGCUGAUGUAGCAACGCCGCGUGCGGGAUGACAGGCUGGGGGUUGGAAUCCGAUGCCGCCUGUGACGAGGCGUGAGUGACGGUAAUGGGUAAAGAAGCACCGGCUAACUACGUG